AGUGAACGCUGGCGGUAGGCCUAACACAUGCAAGUCGAACGGCAGCACAGUAAGAGCUUGCUCUUACGGGUGGCGAGUGGCGGACGGGUGAGGAAUACAUCGGAAUCUACUUUUUCGUGGGGGAUAACGUAGGGAAACUUACUCUAAUACCGCAUACGACCUACGGGUGAAAGCAGGGGAUCUUCGGACCUUGCGCGAUUGAAUGAGCCGAUGUCGGAUUGGCUAGUUGGCGGGGUAAAGGCCCACCAAGGCGACGAUCCGUAGCUGGUCUGAGAGGGUGGUCAGCCACACUGGAACUGAGACACGGUCCAGACUACUACGGGAGGCAGCAGUGGGGAAUAUUGGACAAUGGGCGCAAGCCUGAUCCAGCCAUACCGCGUGGGUGAAGAAGGCCUUCGGGUUGUAAAGCCCUUUUGUUGGGAAAGAAAAGCAGCAGGUUAAUACCCAGCUGUUCUGACGGUACCCAAAGAAUAAGCACCGGCUAACUUCGUG
rnacentral:rRNA from 1 species